GUGCUAGCUUCAGCAGCACAUAUACUAAAAUUGGAAUCAUACAGAGAUUAGCAUGGCCCCUGCACAAGGAUGAUGGAAAGACAAUGAACUGUUAACUAUAAAC
ensembl:snRNA U6 U6 spliceosomal RNA